rnacentral:rRNA from 1 species
GGUGAACGCUAGCGGUGCGCCUAACACAUGCAAGUCGAGCGGUAGAUUGAUUAAAGAAGCUUCGGUGGAAUUAAUUGAUUGAGAGCGGCGAACGGGUGAGUAACACGUUGGUAUCUGCCCCCAAGUCAGGGAUAGCCAUUGGAAACGAUGAUUAAUACCGGAUAGUCUCUUCGGAGUAAAAAUUUAUUGCUUGGGGAGGAGCCUGCGGUCUAUCAGCUAGUUGGUGAGGUAAUAGCUCACCAAGGCUAUGACGGAUACCUGGUCUGAGAGGAUGAUCAGGCACAAUGGAACUGAGACACGGUCCAU